CCUACGGGAGGCAGCAGUGGGGAAUCUUGCGCAAUGGGCGAAAGCCUGACGCAGCGACGCCGCGUGGGGGAAGAAGGCCUUAGGGUUGUAAACCUCUUUCAGGUGGGACGAAGCCACUCGGGUUAAUAGCCCAGAGGGUGACGGUACCGCCAGAAGAAGCCCCGGCUAACUACGUGCCAGCAGCCGCGGUAAUACGUAGGGGGCAAGCGUUGUCCGGAUUUAUUGGGCGUAAAGAGCGUGUAGGCGGCUAGGUAGGUGGGUUGUGAAAACUGGAGGCUCAACCUUCAGACGUCGACCCAAACCCCCUGGCUAGAGUCCGGAAGAGGAGAGUGGAAUUCCUGGUGUAGCGGUGAAAUGCGCAGAUAUCAGGAAGAACACCCGUGGCGAAGGCGGCUCUCUGGGACGGUACUGACGCUGAGACGCGAAAGCGUGGGGAGCGAACAGGAUUAGAUACCCUGGUAGUCCACGCCGUAAACGAUGGGUGCUAGGUGUGGGGGGUGUCGACUCCCCCGUGCCGAAGCUAACGCAUUAAGCACCCGCCUGGGGAGUACGGCCGCAAGGCUAAAACGUCAAAUGAAUUGACGG
rnacentral:rRNA from 1 species